AGGUUAAGUUAACAAGGGCGCAUGGUGAAUGCCUUGGCACUAGGAGCCGAUGAAGGACGGGACUAACACCGAUAUGCUUCGGGGAGCUGUACGUAAGCUAUGAUCCGGAGAUUUCCGAAUGGGGCAACCCAGCAGUUUUAAUCAACUGUUACCACUAGAUGAAUUCAUAGUCUAGUUGGAGGUAAACGCUGUGAACUGAAACAUCUCAUUAGCAGCAGGAAUAUAAAGAAAUUUCGAUUCCCUAAGUAGCGGCGAGCGAACGGGGAACAGCCCAAACCAAAGUGCUUGCACUUUGGGGUUGUAGGACUGAACAUUUGAGUUACCAAAGAACUUGAUAGUCGAAGGAUUUGGGAAAAUCCGCCAUAGAUGGUGAUAGCCCAGUAGAUUAAAUCAAAUUCUCUCAGUUCAGGAUCCUGAGUACGGCGGAACACGUGAAAUUCCGUCGGAAUCCGGGAGGACCAUCUCCCAAGGCUAAAUACUACCUAGUGACCGAUAGUGAACCAGUACCGUGAGGGAAAGGUGAAAAGCACCCCGGGAGGGGAGUGAAAUAGUUCCUGAAACCAUGUGCCUACAAUAAGUCAGAGCGCGUUAAUGCGUGAUGGCGUGCCUUUUGUAGAAUGAACCGGCGAGUUAUGAUCCCGUGCAAGGUUAAGACUAAAAAGUCGGAGCCGUAGCGAAAGCGAGUCUGAAAUGGGCGUUUUGAGUACGAGGUUAUAGACCCGAAACCAGGUGACCUAUCCAUGUCCAGGUUGAAGGUGCGGUAAAACGCACUGGAGGACCGAACCCGUGUAAGUUGAAAAUUGCUGGGAUGAGGUGUGGAUAGCGGUGAAAUUCCAAACGAACUUGGAGAUAGCUGGUUCUCUCCGAAAUAGCUUUAGGGCUAGCCUCGGAAUUAGGAUCAUGGAGGUAGAGCACUAUUUGGACUAGGGGCCCGUCUUGGGUUACUGAAUUCAGAUAAACUCCGAAUGCCAUUGAUUCAUAUCCGGGAGUCAGACGAUGAGUGAUAAGAUCCACCGUCGAAAGGGGAACAGCCCAGACCAUCAGUUAAGGUCCCUAAAUGUAUGCUAAGUGGAAAAGGAUGUGGAGUUGCAUAGACAACUAGGAUGUUGGCUCAGAAGCAGCCACCAUUUAAAGAGUGCGUAAUAGCUCACUAGUCGAGUGAUCCUGCGCCGAAAAUGUACCGGGGCUAAGCAUACUACCGAAACCAUGGAUGCGACCAUUAGGUCGCGUGAUAGGAGAGCGUUCUAAGGGCGGUGAAGCAAGAUCGUGAGGACUUGUGGAGCGCUUAGAAGUGAGAAUGCCGGUAUGAGUAGCGAAAGAUAGGUGAGAAUCCUAUCCACCGAAUGACUAAGGUUUCCUGGGGAAGGCUCGUCCUCCCAGGGUUAGUCGGGACCUAAGUCGAGGCCGAGAGGCGUAGACGAUGGAUAACAGGUUGAGAUUCCUGUACUAGUUAAGUGCGUUUGAGCAAUGGAGGGACGCAGGAGGCUAAGAUGUGCAUUCUGUUGGAUUAGAAUGUCCAAGCAGUAAGUCUUGUGAAGAGUCAAAUGCUUUUCACUUUAAGGACAAGCUGUGAUGGGGAGCGAAAUUUAGUAGCGAAGCGUCUGAUGUCACACUGCCGAGAAAAGCUUCUAGUGAGUACUUAACUACCCGUACCGCAAACCGACACAGGUAGUCGAGGAGAGAAUCCUAAGGUGAGCGAGUGAACUCUCGUUAAGGAACUCGGCAAAAUGACCCCGUAACUUCGGGAGAAGGGGUGCUGAUCGCAAGAUCAGCCGCAGUGAAUAGGCCCAGGCGACUGUUUAUCAAAAACACAGGUCUCUGCAAAAUCGUAAGAUGACGUAUAGGGGCUGACGCCUGCCCGGUGCUGGAAGGUUAAAAGGAUGGGUUAGCUUCGGCGAAGCUCAGAAUUGAAGCCCCAGUAAACGGCGGCCGUAACUAUAACGGUCCUAAGGUAGCGAAAUUCCUUGUCGGGUAAGUUCCGACCCGCACGAAAGGCGUAACGAUCUGGGCACUGUCUCAACGAGAGACUCGGUGAAAUUAUAUUGUCCGUGAAGAUGCGGACUACCCGCGACAGGACGGAAAGACCCCAUGGAGCUUUACUGUAGCUUGAUAUUGAGUGUUUGUACAGCUUGUACAGGAUAGGUAGGAGCCAUAGAAACCGGAACGCUAGUUUCGGUGGAGGCGUUGGUGGGAUACUACCCUCGCUGUAUGACCACUCUAACCCGCACCACUAAUCGUGGUGGGAGACAGUGUCAGGUGGACAGUUUGACUGGGGCGGUCGCCUCCUAAAAAGUAACGGAGGCGCCCAAAGGUUCCCUCAGAAUGGUUGGAAAUCAUUCGCAGAGUGUAAAGGCACAAGGGAGCUUGACUGCGAGACAGACAGGUCGAGCAGGGACGAAAGUCGGGCUUAGUGAUCCGGUGGUACCGUAUGGAAGGGCCAUCGCUCAACGGAUAAAAGCUACCCUGGGGAUAACAGGCUUAUCUCCCCCAAGAGUCCACAUCGACGGGGAGGUUUGGCACCUCGAUGUCGGCUCAUCGCAUCCUGGGGCUGUAGUCGGUCCCAAGGGUUGGGCUGUUCGCCCAUUAAAGCGGUACGCGAGCUGGGUUCAGAACGUCGUGAGACAGUUCGGUCCCUAUCCGUCGCGGGCGUAGGAAAUUUGAGAGGACCUGUCCUUAGUACGAGAGGACCGGGAUGGACAUACCUCUGGUGUACCAGUUGUGCCGCCAGGCGCAUCGCUGGGUAGCUACGUAUGGAUGUGAUAAACGCUGAAAGCAUCUAAGUGUGAAACACACCUCGAGAUGAGAUUUCCCAUUCCUUUAUGGAAGUAAGACCCCUGAAAGAUGAUCAGGUAGAUAGGUUAGAAGUGGCAGUGCGGUGACGCAUGAAGCGGACUAAUACUAAUCGGUCGAGGACUUAACCAAG
rnacentral:rRNA from 1 species